rnacentral:lncRNA from 1 species
AUGUCAAAUCGUAGACAGCGAUGAAUUUAUUACACGGAAAACACCUGAGAAGUUUUGCCAGAAACAAUAUGCGCAGCUUUAGGUGCAGUACUUCGACUGGGACAUAGAGCUUAAACGCAGUUGCAUUGAGCUGUCCACGCACGUGGUCUGUAGCUGUCAGUGGCUGCCCCCAUCAAACCCAGGUCUUCCGCUUUGCUUGUUCUUUCGCA